CAGACAAUCUGUGCAGGUUAUCUUUUUUUGUUUGUUUGUUUUUUUAAAAAAAAGCUUUUAUGUGAACAACUAUAUGAAAAAUAAGAAAUCAAUAUAUAAAGUCAAUAAAACUGUGGCAAAUGGGGAAAUGUGAAGCAGAGGUUGGCCAUCAUUUCAGAGGGAAGGAAAGUGAAGAGAUCCAGCAUGGGCUGAUAAUUGGUACAGAGAGUUACGUCUUUCAAAUUUUGAGGAAACACAGAGUGUGUUUCAAAGCACAAAGGCAGAACAGUGCACGUGAGUUACAUGCUUUGGAUGGCAGAUGAUUUAUGAGUCUUGACAAGGCAAUUUACAGAU